UACGAAGGGGGCUAGCGUUGCUCGGAAUCACUGGGCGUAAAGCGCACGUAGGCGGAUCCUUAAGUCAGGGGUGAAAUCCUGGAGCUCAACUCCAGAACUGCCUUUGAUACUGAGGAUCUUGAGUACGGGAGAGGUGAGUGGAACUGCGAGUGUAGAGGUGAAAUUCGUAGAUAUUCGCAAGAACACCAGUGGCGAAGGCGGCUCACUGGCCCGUAACUGACGCUGAGGCACGAAAGCGUGGGGAGCAAACAGG
rnacentral:rRNA from 1 species